GAUGAACGCUAGCUACAGGCUUAACACAUGCAAGUCGAGGGGCAGCGGGAUUGAAGCUUGCUUCAAUUGCCGGCGACCGGCGCACGGGUGAGUAACGCGUAUCCAACCUUCCGUACACUCAGGGAUAGCCUUUCGAAAGAAAGAUUAAUACCUGAUGGUAUCUUAAGCACACAUGUAAUUUAAGGAUUUAAAAGGAUUUAUCGGUGUACGAUGGGGAUGCGUUCCAUUAGGUAGUAGGCGGGGUAACGGCCCACCUAGCCAACGAUGGAUAGGGGGUUCUGAGAGGAAGGUCCCCCACAUUGGAACUGAGACACGGUCCAAACUCCUACGGGAGGCAGCAGUGAGGAAUAUUGGUCAAUGGACGAGAGUCUGAACCAGCCAAGUAGCGUGAAGGAUGACUGCCCUAUGGGUUGUAAACUUCUUUUAUACGGGAAUAAAGUGAGGCACGUGUGCCUUUUUGUAUGUACCGUAUGAAUAAGGAUCGGCUAACUCCGUG
rnacentral:rRNA from 1 species